UAUACAUAUUAUAAUAGAAAUGUUACAGAAACUAUGCAUUAGAAAUACAGCACAAAAGAUACAUUUUAUUUCAAAACGUGCAUUUUAAAGCUUGUUUUAUGAAAAACAUAAACAACUAGCACCUGUUAAUAUAGUAUUGUUGACGCCGUCUAGUGGCAACUGAUAGCAGUUGCGUCUCUACAGUGGCUAAAUUGUAACAAUAAGUGUUAUUACAACUAUCAAAACACAAGUGUUCAGUAAAUGCAUUAAUAAAUAAAUGUGUUCAUUAAAUGCAUCUUCCAAAUUUUGAAUGUGACUUAAAAAAUACCUACACAUUUUCACUGUGGUUGCACAACUUCACACGCAUUGCUGGAGCAUUUACCAAGUUCAGUUGCUUAAAAAGUCUUCAUCUGUAAGCCUUGUCUGCUUCAAUUAGUGGAGAGUGGCAUCAACCCCUUGUGAGGGAGUAAGGUGUCUAAGCUUUUGUCUGAGAGCAUGAAACCCAGACAGGGGCCAGAUAGGAAUUGGCUACAGAUUUGCACUGCUGAUUAGGACAGUCAAAGCCUGCUCAGCCCUGGACAGAGCUCAAGAUAUAGUGUCCAUGUGUUUACACUGUAAAGGAUUUUCUGUUACUGGCACCGCUAUCCACUUCAAUUCCCACAUUAAUUCCAUUAUGUUGGAACAUGGACAGUACAGAUAUGACAAAAGAGGACCGGACAGAGGGAGAUCGAGAUAAAGAGAGUGGGGGAGAGAUUUUGUCAGGAUAAAGUGACCUUACCAUCAAUGGAAACUGUUCCUGUGGAUGACAUCACAAUGUAAUAAGUGCCAACGUCACACUAAAGUUCCAGGAAGUGAGCCAUAUAUGACAUAAUGAUCACCUCCAGCUAUCAUCAGAGUACAAUCACAUGACACAAACAACCAUCACUCUGAACAGGACCUUCCAAGAGUCCUUCAUAGAACAUGUUUUCUUUUUUUAAA